CAGGCUUAGCAGCUGGCUUGGCUUUGGCAGCUGGCUUGGCUUUGGCAGCAGGUUUCGCCUUAGCAGCAGCUUUAGGCUUCGCGGCAGGCUUGGCCUUGGCUGCUGGCUUGGCUGCGGCAGUCUUAACCGGCUUGGCAGCGGGUUUAGCUUUGGCAGCAGGCUUUGCCUUAGCAGCGGGCUUAGCCUUGGCAGCUGGCUUGGCCUUAGCAAUGCGGCAGUCUUAACCGGCUUGGCAGCGGGUUUAGCUUUGGCAGCAGGCUUUGCCUUAGCAGCGGGCUUAGCCUUGGCAGCUGGCUUGGCCUUAGCAGCGGGCUUGGCUUUGGCAGCUGGCUUAGCCUUAGCUGCGGGCUUAGCCUUUGACUUGGUAGCAGCUUUAGCCUUGGGCUUGGCUUUGGACUUAGCAGCAGCAGGCUUCUUGGCGGGCUUUGCAGCAGAGGACUUCGCCGGUAACUUGUAAGAGGCCUUAACCUUGACGAGCUUGCCAGAAGCAACAAGCUUCUUGAUCUGAACCAGCAAAAGCUUCUUGAAGUUCGAUGGAAGCUGCUUGUGCUUCUCUUCAAUGAACUUCGCAAUCGCGUACUGGCUUGAACCGUUCCUCUCCUUCAAAGCAACAAUCGCUUCCUUCACC
rnacentral:lncRNA from 1 species